rnacentral:rRNA from 1 species
AUUGAACGCUGGCGGCAUGCUUUACACAUGCAAGUCGAACGGUAACAGGUUAAGCUGACGAGUGGCGAACGGGUGAGUAAUGCAUCGGAACGUGCCCGGUCGUGGGGGAUAACGCAGCGAAGGCUGCGCUAAUACCGCAUAUGAUCUGAGGAUGAAAGCGGGGGACCGUAAGGCCUCGCGCGAUCGGAGCGGCCGAUGUCAGAUUAGGUAGUUGGUGGGGUAAAGGCUCACCAAGCCAACGAUCUGUAGCUGGUCUGAGAGGACGACCAGCCACACUGGGGCUGAGACACGGCCCAGACUCCUACGGGAGGUAGCAGUGGGGAAUUUUGGACAAUGGGCGAAAGCCUGAUCCAGCAAUGCCGCGUGCAGGAAGAAGGCCUUCGGGUUGUAAACUGCUUUUGUACGGAGCGAAAAGGUCUCCUCUAAUACAGGGGGCUCAUGACGGUACCGUAAGAAUAAGCACCGGCUAACUACGUGCCAGCCGCCGCGGUAA